GGAUGAACGCUGGCGGCGUGCCUAAUACAUACAAGUCGAGCGAACAGACGAGGAGCUUGCUCCUCUGACGUUAGCGGCGGACGGGUGAGUAACACGUGGAUAACCUACCUAUAAGACUGGGAUAACUUCGGGAAACCGGAGCUAAUACCGGAUAAUAUAUUGAACCGCAUGGUUCAAUAGUGAAAGACGGUUUUGCUGUCACUUAUAGAUGGAUCCGCGCCGCAUUAGCUAGUUGGUAAGGUAACGGCUUACCAAGGCAACGAUGCGUAGCCGACCUGAGAGGGUGAUCGGCCACACUGGAACUGAGACACGGUCCAGACUCCUACGGGAGGCAGCAGUAGGGAAUCUUCCGCAAUGGGCGAAAGCCUGACGGAGCAACGCCGCGUGAGUGAUGAAGGUCUUCGGAUCGUAAAACUCUGUUAUUAGGGAAGAACAAAUGUGUAAGUAACUAUGCACGUCUUGACGGUACCUAAUCAGAAAGCCACGGCUAACUACGUG
rnacentral:rRNA from 1 species